rnacentral:rRNA from 1 species
ACGUUAGCAACAGAAGAAGCACCGGCUAACUCCGUGCCAGCAGCCGCGGUAAUACGGAGGGUGCGAGCGUUAAUCGGAAUUACUGGGCGUAAAGCGCAUGCAGGUGGUUUGUUAAGUCAGAUGUGAAAGCCCGGGGCUCAACCUCGGAACUGCAUUUGAAACUGGCAGACUAGAGUACUGUAGAGGGGGGUAGAAUUUCAGGUGUAGCGGUGAAAUGCGUAGAGAUCUGAAGGAAUACCGGUGGCGAAGGCGGCCCCCUGGACAGAUACUGACACUCAGAUGCGAAAGCGUGGGGAGCAAACAGGAUUAGAUACCCUGGUAGUCCACGCUGUAAACGAUGUCUACUUGGAGGUUGUGGCCUUGAGCCGUGGCUUUCGGAGCUAACGCGUUAAGUAGACCGCCUGGGGAGUACGGUCGCAAGAUUAAAACUCAAAUGAAUUGACGGGGGCCCGCACAAGCGGUGGAGCAUGUGGUUUAAUUCGAUGCAACGCGAAGAACCUUAC